rnacentral:rRNA from 1 species
GUCGAGCGGUAACAUUUCUAGCUUGCUAGAAGAUGACGAGCGGCGGACGGGUGAGUAAUGCUUGGGAACAUGCCUUUAGGUGGGGGACAACCAUUGGAAACGAUGGCUAAUACCGCAUAAUGUCUACGGACCAAAGGGGGCUUCGGCUCUCGCCUUUAGAUUGGCCCAAGUGGGAUUAGCUAGUUGGUGAGGUAAUGGCUCACCAAGGCGACGAUCCCUAGCUGGUUUGAGAGGAUGAUCAGCCACACUGGAACUGAGACACGGUCCAGACUCCUACGGGAGGCAGCAGUGGGGAAUAUUGCACAAUGGGCGCAAGCCUGAUGCAGCCAUGCCGCGUGUGUGAAGAAGGCCUUCGGGUUGUAAAGCACUUUCAGUUGUGAGGAAAGGUUAGUAGUUAAUACCUGCUAGCUGUGACGUUAGCAACAGAAGAAGCACCGGCUAACUCCGUGCCAGCAGCCGCGGUAAUACGGAGGGUGCGAGCGUUAAUCGGAAUUACUGGGCGUAAAGCGUACGCAGGCGGUUUGUUAAGCGAGAUGUGAAAGCCCCGGGCUCAACCUGGGAACUGCAUUUCGAACUGGCAAACUAGAGUGUGAUAGAGGGUGGUAGAAUUUCAGGUGUAGCGGUGAAAUGCGUAGAGAUCUGAAGGAAUACCGAUGGCGAAGGCAGCCACCUGGGUC